UUUAGUAUUGUUCGUUGUUUAGUAGAUAGUGUGAUUUAUUGUGUUCGGUUUUAUUUUUAGUCUGUGCCAUAGUUUAUUCUACAGAUAACGCUGUUUUUGAACAUUAGGGGCAAAAUCGUUUUAAAUAAUGUCCGCAAAAAAAGUUGGAAAGCAAGGUCUUAUUAUACGCAGCCAAGGACGAGAAAUCAUAAGCAAUAUUAUUAUUAAUUUCAUGAAAAAGGAGGCAGAUGAAGUUACUAUUCCUUUGAAAAAUUACAGGGAAAGAAUGCUAGCUGUUACUGGGGUGUCAAAGUCUACUUUUCAGAAGAUAUCAAAAGAAGCUCAAAAAUUUGAGUGGGGAGGGCCAAGCACAUCUUUUCAAACACUAAAAAAAGAAAACUGGAUCGUAUCUCGCUAGAUCAGAUAAAAUCUAUAAGAGAACUUAUCUACGAUGUUUAUGUACUGGAGAAGAGACUUCCUACGUUAAAGUGUGUUUUGCGGAAAAUUAAUGACCGGGAAAUCUUAACAGAAGCAAUAAGUGUAAGCAUAUUGAAUCGGCUCCUCACAAAAAUUGGUUUCAGAUGGCAGAAAAUGCCAGACCGAAGAACAAUUAAUGUCAAUAUCUAUAUUUAGAUUCCAGUGUCGACCAGACUUAGCCAGAAUAGAAGAAAUAUUUUUUGUACAAUUGCAUUUAAAUUGCGAUAAACCAUAGCACUUACCACCUACUUGUCAUAUACCAAUAGAAUUAUAAUUUACUUACUAUAUAUACUUGUUUGUUUUUGCAGGUACAAAAACUGGUGAUUACCAUAAAGACAUGAAUAAUCAAAAUUUCAUGACAUGGGUUCAAAAGCAAUUGUUGCCAAAUCUGCCUGAAAGGUCCGUCCUCGUUAUAGACAACGCAGCAUACCAUAAUGUAACAAUAAAAAAAUAUUACGGCGGCUUCUAAGAAAGAAGAAAUGUUAAACUGGCUAACAGAAAAUGGAUUACCAGCAGACCCCAAACUAACAAAACCGGAAUUAUACCGCAUUUUUCAAGAAAAUAAAUUUCGCUUCCCCAUGAAGUACAAACUAGACGAACUGUUACAACAACAUGGGCACCGUGUACUACGUUUACCUCCUUAUCCUCCAGAACUAAACCCGAUCGAAAAAAUCUGGGCUUUAGUAGAAAAUUGGGUAGCUGCGCACAAUACAACAUUUAAACUGUCCGAUACGGAGGCACUCGCUAGGCAAAAAUUUGAUAGGUAUCGGAACAAGAGUGGUAUAAUAUUUGCCAACAUGUUAAAAAAUAUGAGAAUGACCUUAUACAAAAAGAGCACAUCUUAGACCACAAUCUAAAUCACUUAAUAUUUACAGUUAAUACGGGUUCAUCGGAAAAAAGUGAAGAGAAAAACAGCGAGGAUACUGAUAGUUCAUUAGAGGAUGAACUAGGAUGUUCGUCUCUAGUUUCUGAUAGCGAAUAAAGUUUUUUUUAAUUAACGACAUAGAUAAAAUAUUACACUCAACUUGUGCAAAAACUGCGUUUAUUAUAAACACACCAUGCACACCAAACCUCUAUGCAAUAAACAGUUGCUAUUUCUAUAAGAUAGUGUAUAUAUGUGUAAUAUCCUACUGUAAUAUAUGUUUAAAUCUUCAAAAUAUAUUUUUUUUGUAUUUUUUAAUCUAAUAAAUGUUUUGUUGCGAAA